ACGGGAGGCAGCAGUGGGGAAUAUUGGACAAUGGGGGAAACCCUGAUCCAGCGACGCCGCGUGAGUGAAGAAGUAUUUCGGUAUGUAAAGCUCUAUCAGCAGGGAAGAUAAUGACGGUACCUGACUAAGAAGCCCCGGCUAACUACGUGCCAGCAGCCGCGGUACUACGUAGGGGGCAAGCGUUAUCCGGAUUUACUGGGUGUAAAGGGAGCGUAGACGGUUUGGCAAGUCUGAAGUGAAAGCCCGGGGCUCAACCCCGGUAUUGCUUUGGAAACUGUUGAACUAGAGUGCAGGAGGGGUAAGCGGAAUUCCUAGUGUAGCGGUGAAAUGCGUAGAUAUUAGGAGGAACACCGGUGGCGAAGGCGGCUUACUGGACUGUAACUGACGUUGAGGCUCGAAAGCGUGGGGAGCAAACAGGAUUAGAUACCCUGGUA
rnacentral:rRNA from 1 species